UUUUGUCUUAUUUGUAAGCCUCUUGAAGCAGUCUCCUAUUCUUGCUGGAUCUUUGAAUCAAUGGAUAAAGGUUUAAAGCUGGAAGGCACCUUAGAGGUCAUCUGGUUCAUUCUUUUCAUUUUUCAGAUGAAAAAACCUGAAACACUUAGAAACCUUCAAGGCUCAAGUUGGAUACAAGGAAUGUGACAUCUUGAAGAGUGACAGCUGCUUUGUUGCACUGCAUGAUCCAUAGGGGCUUACUAUCUAUUAAGUCAAAGGCUGAAGUUAGAUUGAGGAGUGCCACAAAACAUCUUAAGUUGUCCUUAAUUGUUUUCUCAAUGGAAUGGAACAAGAUUUAACGGCAAUCAGUAGGGGAAUAACUGACUGAAUCCUGUUUGUUCUUCAUGGUGAUAUAUUAGCUUCGGAAAAAUACCCUAUGGUUUGUUAAAAAGAAAACAAUCUACACUGCUUCCAAAGUAAGCUCUGAACAUUCUCUGAACAUGCAGGUUUGACCAUGGCAUCUCCCUACUCAUUAAACUUCAGUGACUCCCUUUUAAUUUUAGUAUUGACUAAAAAUUAUUCUGCUUAGCAUUUAUAGCCCAUCACAAUCUGAAUAAAACCUUCUAUUCCAACA